CCUACGGGAGGCAGCAGUGAGGAAUAUUGGUCAAUGGACGAGAGUCUGAACCAGCCAAGUAGCGUGAAGGAUGACUGCCCUAUGGGUUGUAAACUUCUUUUAUAUGGGAAUAAAAUGUUCCACGUGUGGGAUUUUGUAUGUACCAUAUGAAUAAGGAUCGGCUAACUCCGUGCCAGCAGCCGCGGUAAUACGGAGGAUCCGAGCGUUAUCCGGAUUUAUUGGGUUUAAAGGGAGCGUAGGUGGGUUGUUAAGUCAGUUGUGAAAGUUUGCGGCUCAACCGUAAAAUUGCAGUUGAAACUGGCAGUCUGGAGUACAGUAGAGGUGGGCGGAAUUCGUGGUGUAGCGGUGAAAUGCUUAGAUAUCACGAAGAACUCCGAUUGCGAAGGCAGCUCACUGGACUGCAACUGACACUGAGGCUCGAAAGUGUGGGUAUCAAACAGGAUUAGAUACCCGAGUAGUC
rnacentral:rRNA from 1 species